UCUAGAUGGACUGGUAAAAAUGGAGCACUGCCAAGCAAACCCCAAGAAAAUGUCCAGCCUCAACAUGAAGUUUUACUGGCUUCUGAGGAAGUGAAAGAUGUCUGAGUGCGGGACCUAGAAUAUGAAUUGUCAAGGGAUGUGGAGGAACAAAGAGAUCCACAGAUGGAUCAUUCAACUCCUGCCACAAUUAUGCUGUGUAAUGAGGAGCCAUAAAACCUCAGUGACAUACAGUUUCCUACCUUGAUAUCGGUUCUGAUGGAGGUUCCUACUUGGAGGUUUCUGCUCUGGUAAGUGGCAAUUCUCUAUAUCCACCCGU